UACGGAGGGUGCAAGCGUUAAUCGGAAUUACUGGGCGUAAGGCGUACGCAGGCGGUUUGUUAAGUCCGUUGUGAAAGCCCCGAGCUCAACUUGGGAAUUGCAGUGGAUACUGCCAUGGCUUGAGUCCGGUAGGGGACCACGGAAUUCCUGGUGUAGCGGUGAAAUGCGCAGAUAUCAGGAGGAACACCGGUGGCGAAGGCGGUGGUCUGGGCCGGUACUGACGCUGAGGAGCGAAAGCGUGGGGAGCGAACAGG
rnacentral:rRNA from 1 species